AGCAACAGCAGCAUACCACCCUGAACGCGCCUUGUCUCCUCUGAUCUUGGAAGCUAAGCAGGGUCGGUCUGGUUAGUACUUGGAUGGGAGACCACCUGGGAAUACCGGAUGCUGUAGGCU
ensembl:rRNA 5S_rRNA 5S ribosomal RNA